CAAGAAUUAGCUUUAUCCUCAAAAUAUCAAAACAUACUGUGAAAUAUGCCAAAGAGCAACACCAUCUGAAUAUGUGAAGGGAGACUACAAGUGCCACCAUGCUUACAGCGCCAACAUAACAUGCCCACAACUUACUAAUCCUAACUGGCUCAUCUUUGGACUGAGAGGAGGCCUGCAUAAUCGUGGGGAAAACAUGCAAACUCCUUAUGGGAUUUGAACCCUGAUCGCUGAUGCUGUGACAGGAUUGUGCUUCCCCCCAAGCUAUCAUGCUGCCAUACAAAAUGAUGAAACAAAGGAAAACCUGCAAAAACAAGACGUGGUAGCAUAGCAGUUAGUGUGGCAAUAUUACAGCACCAGAUUUAACUCCCACCAGUCUGUAAGGAGUUUGUGCAUUCCCUCCUUGACUGCGAGUUUCCUCCCGGUGCUCCAGUUUACUCCCACAUUCCAAAAGUUAGUAGGUUAAUUGGUCAAUGAGAGUUCAUUGGCUUGGAAGAGCCUGUUACAAUGCAGUAUCACUAAAUUUUAAAAAAAAGACCCUUGUGUAAAAGGCCUUGUUGUAAUGUACAGGCUGUUGUAGGUGUUUCUCACUUUGUUCUGUUCCACGACACUAGCUUAUUUCAUCUUGUAUUAUUAAGGGUGUCAAAGGUCAUGGGGAGAAGGCAAGAGAAUGAGGGCUGAGGGGGAUAAUAAAUCAGCCAUGAUAGAAUGGGAGCACACCCUCAAUGGGCAAAUUCUGCUACGUUAAUAUGCCCUUAUCAGACCACCAUUGUACAAGAAUGGUAUAGAACAAAAACCAAACAACAGAAUUCUGAGAUGAUGAGAAAAUUGUCUUGUCACACUGUCAGUCACAAGACACACAUAACACUGUUAAUCUUGUCUUAUUUAAGGAAGUAAGAAAAGGCAGCAUUGUUUAAGAUAACUGAAUGAAGAUGGAAAAUCCCGAAGUUGUCUGCACCCACAAGUACUGGAACAAUGUGAAGGAAUGCAAGGUGAGUCACAACCAGGACACAGGUUCCCAGGGACUGGUAGACAAAACAGAUAAAGGAUUGCAUUAAGUCUGUGCAGAUGUACUAAGGCAGUAAUCUCCCUCUAUUGAUUGAAGUGCAACCUUUCAGAAAUGCCCUGUAUUGUCAUUUGCUUCAGAAGAACAGUAUCCACAAACAUACCUUAUGACAUAAAAAUACAAAAUUACAUAAACUCAAUCAACUGAAAUAGUAACUACCUUAACUGCACUGCAAAAACACAAACAUUCGUGUGUAUACAUAUCUGCAGAUUCUGUAAAUCUAAAAUAAAAACAGAAAAUUAUGGUAAUACUCAAAUUGGUCGAGCAGCACCCUCAAAAGAAACCGGUAACGUUUCAUAUCAGGACCCAUUGUUAGAACUUAAGUCUCUGAAGCUUAGACAUUAACUUUUCUUCACAGAUGCUGCCUGGCCUACUACUUUAGUAUUUUUUUAUAAGGCAAAAAUCGCCUAUAAACUACAGAGAUGGGUACAAUAUUGCUCCCUUUGCGGACAGCUUUGGCUCUGAGUGCUUAAAUACAAAGACGCAAGUGAAGGUCACACACAGUGAAACUUGCAGACGGCCGAACUUGUCUACAACAAAAAAUCUGCGAGGGCUGCUUCAGCGGAUGAUGGGGGGAGAAGGUCACCGGUUCGCUUCCGAGCCCUGUAUUGGAGUUGUAACUCCUUCUCCGUUCCCCCAUCCCAGACGCUGUUCGACUGGCCGAGCAGUUUGUUCUAUGUUCCAGCGUCUGUAGUUUCCAGAAGCAAAUUACAACCAUAGGCAGUCACGGCCUCGCCUCCCCUUUAAAUCCAAAUUAAUCAUCGGCAAGCAAAUAAAGAGUAAACGGCUUAACGACACGCAGGCGCACUGCGGCGGGACGCUCGUGCCUCCAGCCAGGCCCCGGUUCCGUCUAACGAGCAGAAAGAGCCGGACCUGCUGCUGGCUUGACCGACGCCGGCAGCGUUUGACAGAAAGUUGAACAGCCUGGGCCCGGUUUCACUUUCCCCUCACACACCAACUUACCAAAUAAGACUGAGGCCAGCGGCUUUCCUCGUCUAUCUCUGCAAAUUUCUUUUCCAUAUCGUAUUCCAUAAAUUUGGUCAAGCUGUCACUGGGCAAAUGUAAAUCUCUGACAUGAUGAGGCCAGAGUGUCGAUAAAGAUGUUUAAUCGAUGUUUUAACGAGAACAGUUAGAAAGCGAGAAAACAAAUAUAAGUGACACCAGAAAAUGCCAACACAGGAAACUGGAGCAACAAUUUGCUUGAGGAACUCAAAAGGUUGAGCAGCAUCUGUGGCAGGGAAGAAGGUGUCAACAUUUUGGCUCAAAACCCUUUAUCACGUCAGUUCAGCACAUCUUGGAAACCAGUCUCCGCUCCGUGGACUCUGCCUACAUAACUCACUGCCUCAGAAAGUAGCCAGCAUUAUCGAAGACCCAUCCUCUCUUCUCCAGCUAAGCUCCUUCCUACAGGCAGAAGAUAAAGGACAGUUUCUAUCACCCUGUUAUAAGAAUGAACCUCUUGGACGAUAAGGUUGACGCUUGACCUCACAUAGACCUCAUCAUUGUUAUUGGCAUUGGUUUAUUUUUGUCACAAGUACUGAGAUACAGUUAAAAAUUUGCAUUUCAUACCAUUCAUACAGUUCAAUUCACCAUGCAGCGUAUUGAGAUAGAACAAAGUAAAACAAGAACAAUGCAGAAUAAAGUGUAACAGCCAUAGAGAAAGUGCAGAGCAGGUGAACAGUAAAGUGCAAGAUCAUAACAAAGUAGAUUAUGAGGUCAAGUUUACAUUUUAUUGAAUCGGCGAACCUUUUAAUAAUCUUGUUAUAGUAGGGAAGGAGCUGUCCUUGAGCCAGUGAUAAGUACUUUCAAGCUUUUGUAUCUUUUGUCCAAUGGAAGAAGGGAGAAGAGAUAAUGUCCAGGGUGGGUGGGGUCUUUGAUUUUGCUGAUCGAGACUAUGAGAAAGAGGGGAGGCUGGUUUCCAAAUUGUGCUGAGCAAUGUCCACAGCUCUGCAGUUUUUUGCAAUCAUGUACUAAGUAGUUGCCACACCAAGCCAGAAAGAAUGUUUUCUAUGGUGGAUUGAUAAAAAUUGGUAAGGGUUAAUGUAUGCAUAUAAAAUUUCUUUAGUCUCCUGAGAAAGUAGAGGCUUUGCACCUUUUUGCUUGCCUCCAUUGCACUUCCUCUGUAACUGCAACAGUGUGAUUGUGCAUGCAUGUUUCACUUUUCCCAUACAUUACCUCGAUAUACUGAUGUCAUGAAAUAAUCAGUAUGGAUGGAAGCAAAAUGUGUAUCUCAUUACCUGUGACAUUAAUAAACCAAUUUACCCAUUUCAGCUGUGAAAAUAAGUACUGUCAACAAAUCAGAGAACGUGAAUGCUGAAUAAGGCAUAUUCAGAAUUAAUAAUAGUUUCAUUUAUGCAGUUUUACCAGUAUUCUGGCAGUGAAGGAUUCAUUGGCAAAAAUGUUACAGUAUCUAUUUAAUACUUAAGUAAUGUUUGAGCAAUAUAGCAAAUAUGUUGUUUGAUAUACAGUAUGCAUCCUUGUUUGUUUAAGUACUUCAUUAAAGGUUAAACAUAAA